rnacentral:rRNA from 1 species
GAUGAACGCUGGCGGCGUGCCUAAUACAUGCAAGUCGAGCGAACAGAUAAGGAGCUUGCUCCUUUGACGUUAGCGGCGGACGGGUGAGUAACACGUGGGUAACCUACCUAUAAGACUGGGAUAACUUCGGGAAACCGGAGCUAAUACCGGAUAACAUUUGGAACCGCAUGGUUCUAAAGUGAAAGAUGGUUUUGCUAUCACUUAUAGAUGGACCCGCGCCGUAUUAGCUAGUUGGUAAGGUAACGGCUUACCAAGGCAACGAUACGUAGCCGACCUGAGAGGGUGAUCGGCCACACUGGAACUGAGACACGGUCCAGACUCCUACGGGAGGCAGCAGUAGGGAAUCUUCCGCAAUGGGCGAAAGCCUGACGGAGCAACGCCGCGUGAGUGAUGAAGGGAUUCGGCUCGUAAAACUCUGUUAUUAGGGAAGAACAAACGUGUAAGUAACUGUGCACGUCUUGACGGUACCUAAUCAGAAAGCCACGGCUAACUACGUG